CCUACGGGAGGCAGCAGUAGGGAAUCUUCCACAAUGGGCGAAAGCCUGAUGGAGCAACGCCGCGUGGGUGAAGAAGGUCUUCGGAUCGUAAAACCCUGUUGUUAGAGAAGAAAGUGCGUGAGAGUAACUGUUCACGUUUCGACGGUAUCUAACCAGAAAGCCACGGCUAACUACGUGACAGCAGCCGCGGUAAUACGUAGGUGGCAAGCGUUAACCGGAUUUAUUGGGCGUAAAGGGAACGCAGGCGGUCUUUUAAGUCUGAUGUGAAAGCCUUCGGCUUAACGGGAGUAGUGCAUUUGAAACGGGGAGACUUGAGUGCAGAAGAGGAGAGUGGAACUCCAUGUGUAGCGGUGAAAUGCGUAGAUAUAUGGAAGAACACCAGUGGCGAAAGCGGCUCUCUGGUCUGUAACUGACGCUGAGGUUCGAAAGCGUGGGUAGCAAACAGGAUUAGAUACCCCUGUAGUC
rnacentral:rRNA from 1 species